UAAUACAUUGCUCUGAGAGACUGUCAACGCUUUGGUAAGAUAACGUGAAAAUAUCAAUUAUGUUAGUCUAUGUUGAUACAGAACUGAUAAUGGGAAGACAAAUUAUAAACUUUGAUGCAUGGCCAGUAACCGGCGCGAUGCGGCACACGGACGCACGCACAUUUUUAAUAAAACACGCCAUUUUAUCGGAACCACACUCGUGACCUUUUGUGCAUUGAUAUUAUUUGCUUGUGAUAUUAGUGUGAUGUUUGUUUGUAAUAAACUCGUUUAUUUGAUGUUUCUUAGUGUUAAAUUAUGCAAUUUAGUUUGCAGUCUUUGUGAAUGUGGCACUCUUGUAAGAUGACAUUGCGAAGUAGAGACAAAAAGUCAGAUGUUUAUUGGACGCUUCUAAAAGGAGUUGUUUUAUGGAUGUUACAACAAAGCUGUGUUUUAUGACAGUGAAUCAAAUAAUGCAUCAAUCAAAUAUCCUUAAUUUCAAGAUCAACUUAAAAAGCAAUAAACAUAA